rnacentral:lncRNA from 1 species
GCACUACAGAAUGAAGCGAACAAAGGUGGAGGGGAAGCCCUUGCUUUUUUCUUUUCCUUUCUCGCUCUUUCUUCCAGAACAGCCUUUAUACUUAGAAAGCAUAGCUGUAUUCUUAGAGAAUAGCUAAGCAUGUAGGACCACAACCAUCUUGAAGACCAUAAUAGUCGAGGGGCCAUCCCUCUUCCCACCACUCUAGAAGGGUACAGCAGUCACGGGAGAAGAUUAUAUUGAAGAUGAUCCUGCAGCAGCAGAUCAUACAUAUCGAUUUGUGAGGAAAAAAUUCAUCUUUUUCGUGCCCUGAUUGAAGAGGACCAACGAUUAACAGCAGAAACAAUAGCGAACACCAUAGACAUCUCAGUUGGUUCAACAUACACAAUUCUGACUGAAAAAUUAAAGCUCCCCACACAUCUAAAUAUUUUGUGAGGAGAUACUUUGAAAGGAGCUGGAGGAACUUCAGUAAGCUGAAGACUCUGUUCAGAGGAAAUUACCUAAUUGAAAAUGUCUGGGCUAAGAGACCGACAAUAAAGGAAACUGGCAAAAGUACUCUUUAAUUACAAGUUCUUUUUCAUCUUCAUCCAGCACACUGAUUUAUGUGCUACACUGGGUUUGUAUUAUAUCUAUAUUUUAAUUCCACAACUAGACACUAACUUUAUUGAGAACAGCGAUAUUCAUUUCUUCAAUUUCAUUUGUGUUAACCCAACUGUAGGUGAUAGUGCUCUGUACAUCAUAGUUACCCAGUGAAUUACGUACCUGACAUAUGAUUGCUUAUUUCUGGUAUUAAAACAAGAUUUCAUAAAAUAAACAUGACAAUUAAA